rnacentral:miRNA from 1 species
ACAUUGGAGAUAAAUGAGUUGG